AUCCAAUUGACGAGUCCCAAAUGGGACGAAACGCGCGUCCUGAAU
rnacentral:hammerhead_ribozyme from 1 species